rnacentral:tRNA from 3 species
GCGGGUGUGGCGGAAUUGGCAGACGCACCAGACUUAGGAUCUGGCGCCUUACGGCGUGGGGGUUCGACUCCCUUCACCCGCACCA